CCUACGGGAGGCAGCAGUGAGGAAUAUUGGUCAAUGGACGAGAGUCUGAACCAGCCAAGUAGCGUGAAGGAUGACUGCCCUAUGGGUUGUAAACUUCUUUUAUAUGGGAAUAAAAUGUUCCACGUGUGGGAUUUUGUAUGUACCAUAUGAAUAAGGAUCGGCUAACUCCGUGCCAGCAGCCGCGGUAAUACGGAGGAUCCGAGCGUUAUCCGGAUUUAUUGGGUUGAAAGGGAGCGUAGGGGGAUUGUUAAGUCAGUUGUGAAAGUUUGCGGCUCAACCGUAAAAUUGCAGUUGAAACUGGCAGUCGUGAGUACAGUAGAGGUGGGCGGAAUUCGUGGUGUAGCGGUGAAAUGCUGAGAUAUCACGAAGAACUCCGAUUGCGAAGGCAGCUCACUGGACUGCAACUGACACUGAGGCUCGAAAGUGUGGGUAUCAAACAGGAUUAGAUACCCCGGUAGUC
rnacentral:rRNA from 1 species